rnacentral:lncRNA from 1 species
GUCCUGUGUCUAGGACAUCUGCUGUCCCAACCCCAGAGUGUUCACUCAAAUAAGGGUGGCUUGAUUGCCCUGCUAAUCCACAGAGUGGACACAGCUCUGGACAAGGCAGAGCCUUUCUGCUUUGUGUACACAUUCAGUGGGAGAGCACUGAAUGGAGAGCAUGGUGGAGACUCCCAUUUUGGGGGCGGAGCUGAGGGGUGGACCUCUUAGACCCGUGGUUCAGGGGCUUUCGAGCACCGGCUGUGCUUGGCGAAGCAAAGCAGCUGUGCCAGCCGGGCUGAAAACUCUUCCCACACCAGAAAGUGGGGAGUGUGUCCAGGGAGGCAGACGUGUGCUCGUCAUCCAAGAAGAGGCAGGAAUGGACUGGGCAUCGAUGCAGCCGACGGCAGGUGGUGGCUCAGCUGAGAGGGAGGACUCUGGCACAGGAGAGAUCUCCCCUGAGGUCUGCAGAGAACCGGUGACCAUCCUAAAGGUUAAAUCAUGCAAAAGUUGUGACCCAAGAAGUUCUAAAAUCAGGUCAAGAUAUGAGAGACAAGUUUAUGCACAGCGGGGUGUAGAUGUGUACCGAGUCAGAGGCAGCCUAGCUGUGGCUCUAUCCAGAGAGGAGGCCUCCUCUUGCUAAAAAGUAAAGGAGGUUCCUUUUAACAUUGAUAGUUAAAUGGGUCUCAGUUAUACACAGGGUGGUAAAUGUUAAUUGAUGGGAAUUGGAGAAGAGGAAAAAGUCUAUUUGUCAGGAUAUGUGUGUCCCAGAGACUAAAUGUUACAGAGCUAUCUAAGGCAUGAUUUCCUCUCCACUUACAAAGAGGAGGUGACAGAAAGGUGACAGCAGCUUUAGAGUGACUCCGGGACUGGUACUUUCCCCCAGGAUGCUGGCUCUAGCAGCCGCUGGGUCCCUCCCACUACACACAGUCUCUGCCUCAACCUUGGCUGCAGGGUAUCGAUAAGGGAAUCAACAGAUGAUCCAAAAUAUGACACAUACAUAUUGUCCAGCUUUGACCGUUUUAUUUGUUAUAGCUAAUAUUUAUUAAGAACCUAACACACACAUGAAUUACUCUAUUUAGUGCUUUACAUACAUUCUCUUUUUCUUUUCUUUCUUUCUUUUUUCCUUUUUAUGGCUGCACCUGUAGCAUAUGCAGUUUCCCAGGCUAGGGGUCAAAUCAGAGCUGCAGCUGCCUGCCUACAUUACAGCCACAGCAACGUGGGAUCCGAGUCUUGACCUAUACCACAGAUCACAGCAACGCUGGAUCCUUAACCCACUGAGUGGGGUCUGCAUCCUUGCUGGAACCUGCAUCCUCAUGGACACAAUGUUGGGUUCUUAACCUGCUGAGCCACACCGAGAACUCCACAGUCUCUUUUUCUAAAUAAGGUUUUAAGAUGGAAGCAUUGUAUGUGUACAGAUCAUAUGCAUAUAUAAGUACAUACACGUGCACAAAUCAUAAGUAUAUUAUGUCUUCUCAGAAAGUGAACAUGCUCAUGUAAUCACCCCUUGGUCAAGAAGUGGACUGAUGGAACACAGUAUGAGAAAAAGAAUACACACACACACACACAUACACACACAUAAAUGACUGGGUCACCUUGCUGUGCAGCAGAAAUAGAACAUUGUAAAUCAACUAUACUAAAAAAUUUUAAAAAAUUAAAAAAAUAAGUGGACUGUUCCUAGGACCCCAGAAGACUCCCUCCCCCCCACCCCACGCCACCAGUGACCACUUUCCCUUCUUUCUAAAACUUUUUGCUCUCCUGACUCUAACACCAUAGGCUGGUUAUGCCUGUUUUUGAUCUUUAUGGGAAAUGGAAUCAAGCAGUUUGCAUUGUUUUGUUUGCAUCACGUUUGUGAGAUCCAUUUGCCUGGCUCCAUAUAGCAGUAAUUUCUUCAGUCUUGUUGGGUUCCAAUGCGAGACUGUGGCACAAUGUUACCUUUGCACUGUUAAUAGACACAUGGAAAGUUUCCACUACUGGACUGUUAGGAAUAUGCAUUCAGGAACAUUGUUGUACACAUCUUUUGGUAAAGUGUGUAUGCAUUUGAGGUAUAUACCUAGAAAUGAAGUUAUUGAAUCAAAGGGUGAAUACAUACUUAGUUGAAUAGAAACAACCAUAUGAUUCUCCUAGGUGGUUAUCUCCUGCUUUACCUUUUCCUUAGCCGUGCAUUAGAAUUCCAGCUGCUCACCACACCGACUCAGGGAACACUGGGCAUUUUCUGCUCUUAAAAUUCUAACUAGGGAUUUCCCGUUGUGGCUUAGAGGUAACAAACUGGACUAGAAUCCAUGAGGAUAUGGGUUCCAUCCCUGGCCUCACUCAGUGGUUAAGGAUCCAGUGUUGCUGUGAGCUGUGAUGUAGACCAGCAGUUGUAGCUCCGAUUCAACCCCUAGCCUGGGAAACUUACACAUGCUGCAGGUGCGGCCUUAAAACGCAAAAAUUAAAAAAAAAUACUAAUUAUUCUGACAGGUGUCCAAUGGUAGUUCAUUGUGGGCUAUAGAUUGUAUGCCUAUAUUUCCCCCAAAUUCAUGUGUUAAAAUCCUAAUCUCUAUGGUAGGAAGUUUGGGAGGGGCUUUGGGAGGUGCUUAGGUCUGAGGGUAGAGCUCUCAUGAAUGGGAUUGUGUCCUUAUAAAGAGACCCCAGAGAAUUCUCUUGCCCUUCCCCCAUGGAGGACACAAUGACAAGUCUAUGACCUGGCAGAGGGGGCUUUCUUGAUCAUGCUGGCCCCUUGAUCUGGGAUGUACAGCCUCUGUGAGAAAAAAAAAUUCUAUUUUUUAUAAGCAGAAAAAUCGCUUGUUCCGGACUCCUUUUUUCUCUCACAUGAGCUGGGUCAUAGGCACAACCAUGACCCAGCUUUAUCCAUGCAGACGAGGACAACCCCAUCACACAGAGUCAGCAAACUAUAGCCCGUGGCCUAAAUCUGGCCCUUGGUCUAUUUCGGAAUUAUUCUUAAAUUUUUAAAUGCUUGAAAAAACUCAAAAGAAGAAUUGUAUUUCAAUACAUGUGAAAAUUAUGUGAAAUUCAAAUUUCAGUGUCUGUAAAUAAAGCUUUAUUGGAACAUAGCCAUGCUCUCUUUUUCCCACUUAACUGUCUGUGGCUGCUUUUGCAGCAGGAUUGAAUAGUUGCAACAGAGACUCUGUGGCCUGCAAAGCCUGAUGUAUUUACUAUCUGGCCCUUUCCAGAAAAAGCUUGCCCACUUGUGCUUAGAAUAUGGAUAAACCCAAAAUAAAAUGAAAUCUGCAACCUUGAAUCCCUUGGGAGCAAAGCUGCCACACCACAUGAAUGCCAGACCUUUCUGAAACCGUGUGGAUGAAGAAUGUCCCCUGUGAUAUCAGCAAACAAAGGACAUUGCAGCCAACAGGCCCUUGACCAUUGCAACCACCCCCAACAGUGCCCCCUGAGGGGACUCAGGAUGGGAAAAAACAGGACACUGGUCCCAGAGAGCUGAAGUGCACAUCAGAGGAAUGAUUUCAAUGAGCCCAGACUCUUGAAUAUUACCAUGCAUAGAAAAGCACUAAAUUCAUUCACUCGUGAUAUCUGGUUUUCUUUAACAGUAGUUUUUGAUGUUCUGACUAUGUGGUCUUUAUUGCAAAAAUUUAUACUCCUGGCUCCCCCCUGGCCUCUUCAGAGCAGUUCUUCAGAGCUGCUGAGAUGCUGCCUCCUGGGCUUAAGUCCUCAAAAUGUCCACCAAAUAAAACAUAUUUCUCAACUUGUAGGUCAUGCAUUUUUUUUUCAGUUGACAUUCACUACAUUAAAAAAAUUUUUUUAUAGCAGUUUCUUUUCUCUAAUACAGAAAUGAAUACUGGCAGUGGAGUGCUGCUGUAACAAAAACCCAAGAUAUAUGACAUUGGCUUAAUGGUUGGGUAGUGGAUGGUAAAGAACAGAUUUUUUUCUGGAAAACUGGAGCCAGGUGACUCUUGUCAGGCCAUGGAAAAUCAUGUGGUGAGUGUGUCUCCCCACUUUCCCACCCGGCGACAUUUUGGAAGUCAGAUGGUUGGUUCUGAGAGCAGGUUGCUGUAGGGGAAGAACUUGCUAGGCUUGGUGUCAGCUGCUCCUCCCCACUUUUAACAAGGUGUUGUAAAAAUGGGAUGAGUUCGCAAGAAUUGGCUGGUCUUCAAGCAAGUCUGAAAGAAAUAGCCUUGAUGUGGGAAAGCCAGAUUCUUCCAAAUGCGAAUUUUGGGACUCUAAACUUGACCAGCAUCUUUAUCAGCUAAACAAAGGACCCUUCCCUACAGCACAAUCAGGUUAGAAGACCGCUGUCCAGCUCAGACCUAUUAGGUAACAUUGGGGGCCUCAAGGUCGCCUUCCAGUAAGUGAAGGAGAAAUUCUUGGCUCAAGCAAGUAAAUAAAAGAAGCCAGUAAAUAAGGGACAGUUGUAAACAUUAGCUCUGGAAGCUAAUUUUGGUUAAAGUUCCAAGUACUGAGAGCUGAUUUGAAGCCAACAGACAAAGCUUCCCAAGCUCCUGAGGGAAAUUCAUUGCUGGAGGAACCUGGAUGCUGGCCUUGACAAGCCCAGGGGCCCCCGGCCUAAACUGGUGCUGAGUAGAUGGAAACCGUGUAGCACCCACGAGAGCAGAGACUAACACCUGCCUCCUCUGUGGCUACUGAAUAGGUAUAGGAAAUAGGAGGCAUCUCUCAGACAGAGACCAGCCAGGACAUCGGGCGCAGGAGUUCCUCUUGGCAGGCACCACAGGGCGCAGCAAGGAACAUACGUCAGACAGAGCACAGAUUGCAUUAUUGCUGAAGUAUAAACUUCAAAAAGGUAAAACCCACGAUGCUCACACACACAUAAAAUGGGCACAUGUGGAAGAUUUCAUUUAAUUCAUUAUGAGGAACUCAUAAAGCAUUAUAUAACAGGUUGAAUUGAUAAUUUGUUUAGCAGAGAUAUUUAUUUAUUUAUUUAUUUAUUUUUUGUCUUUUUGCCUUUUUUAGGGCCACUCCUGCGGCAUAUGGAGGUUCCCAGGCUGGGGGUCUAAUCAGAGCUAUAGCCACUGGCCUACGCCAGAGCCAUAGCAACACGGGAUCUGAGCUGUGUCUGCGACCUACGCCACAGCUCAUGGCAACACUGGAUCCUUAACCCACUGAGCGAGGCCAGGGAGCGAACCUAAAACCUUAUGUUUCUUAGUCGGAUUUGUUAACCACUGAGCCAGGACGGGAACUCCGAGAUUUUUUUUUUAUAGAGGGACAAAAUUGAUUUGCUUUGCUGCAAAUAAGAAUCAUUUCCACUGAUUUAGUCAAGAAACCUUUGGCGUUCCCAUUGUAGCUCAGCAGGUUUAGAACCCUACGUAGUCUCUGUGAGGAUACAGGUACCAUCCCUGGCCUUGCUCAGUGGGUUUGGUCAUAGGUCGCAGUUGUGGCUCGGAUGGCAUGUUGCUGCGGCUGGGCCCCAGCAGUAGCUUUGAUUGGAGCCCUAGCCUGGGAACUUCCAUAUACUGCAGGUGCUACCCUAAAAAGAAAAAAAGAAACAUUUUUUUUUUUAAAUUGGCAUGUAUUUACAAAAUUAUACUAGUUUCAGAUGUACAACAGAAUGAUUCAAUAUUUUUAUAGAUUAUAUUCCAUUUAAAAGUUAUGGUAAAACAUUGGCUAAAUUUCCUGUGCUGUACAGUAUAUCCUUGUAGCUUAUUUAUUUUAUUUGUAGUAGUUUGUAUUCAAUCCCUUAUCCCUAUACUGCCCCUCUCCCAUCCCUCUCUCACUGGUAACCACGGUUCUCUGUAUCAGUCUAUUUUGGUGUAGUCAUUCAUUUGUUUUAUAUAUUUUAGAUUCCACAUAUAAGUGAAAACACAGUAUAUGUCUUUGUCUUAGUUCACUAAGCAUAAUAUCCUCCAUGUUCAUUCAGGUUUUUGCAAAUGGCAAAAUUUCAUUCUUUCUAUGGUUGAGUAGUAUUCCAUGGUAUAUGUAUACUACAUCUUCUUUAUCCAUUCCUCUUUUGAUUCAUCCUUAGGUUAUUUCUAAAUCUUGGCUAUUGUGAAUAGUGCUGCUAUGAACAUUGCGGCGCAUUUAUCUUUUUGAGUCAGUGCUUUUAUUUUCUUUGCAUAUAUACCCGGGAGUGGAAUUGCAGUUCUAUUUUUACUUUUUUGAGGAAUUGCCACCAUUUUCUAUAGUGGUUGCUCUAAUACAUUUCCACCAACAUUUUACGAGGGUCCUUUUUCUACAUGUCCUCAUCAACUGAAUUUGUUAUCUGCUAUCUCAUUGACAAUAGCCAUUCUGACAGGUGUGAAGUGGUAUCUCAUUUUAGUUUUGAUUUGCAUUUCCCUGUUUAUUAGUGAUGUUGAACAUCUUUUCAUAUGCCUGUUGGCCAUCUGUAUAUCUUCUUUGGAAAAACGUCUCCUUGGGUCUUCUGCUAAUUUUUAAAUUGCAUUUUUUUUUGAUGUAGAAUUUUAUGAGCUUGGGCUUAUCAGACACAACUUAGAAUAGAUUUACAAGGAGAUCCUGCUGAAUAGCAUUGAGAACUUUGUCUAGGUACUCAUGUUGCAACAGAAGAAAGGCUGGGGGAAAAACGUAAUUGUAAUGUAUACAUGUAAGGAUAACCUGACCCCCUUGCUGUACAGUGGGAAAAUAAAAAAAAAA